UAGCAAACUAAGCUCUGGAAAGAAUGUCAUUAAAAAUAAAUCAAGGGGCGCUCAAGGGGCGCUCAUACAUAAUUAGGAAAGAGAGAAGAAAAUCAUGAAAAUGCCCGAGUCUUUAGCGUUGUCUGUUCUAGUGACAAUUUCAAAGGACUUGUCAAUUGGAGGAAGUUAAUUAUCCUACGUAUUUUUUAGGAACUUUGCUCUCGAAACCCUUUUUCUCCCUUAAUCAGAACUUCGCGAUAUUGGACGGAGGAGGAUGUGCAAAGAUCUAAAAGACCCAAUGACGGGUAGAAACAAAACCAUAGCGUACAAUAGCUCUUGGCUAAUCAGUUCUACUAAGAUCAAAGUAAGUCACAGUGCAGCAUUUCCGUACCUUUGCCUAAGAUGAGAGAUUCGAAGAGCGAGAAACAAAGCAGCAAUCUAGAGAGAGAGAGAGAGCGAGGAGGACGAGGAGGAAGAAGAAGAAGAGUCUUGGGGUUUGAAAGUCGCAAGCUUUCCCUUCUUCUUUA